GAUGAACGCUGACAGAAUGCUUAACACAUGCAAGUCUUUGGUGAAGCUGUGCUUGCACCGCCUAGCCAAGGCGGACGGGUGAGUAACGCGUAAGGAACUUGCCCUGCAGUCAGGGAUAACAGACGGAAACGACUGAUAAGACCUGGUAAAGUCAGGCGGACUCAUGUCCAGCCUGAUGAAAAGAGAUGCUGCAGGAGAGCCUUGCGUCCUAUUAGCUUGUUGGCGGGGUAACGGCCCACCAAGGCAAUGAUAGGUAGCCGGCCUGAGAGGGUGGACGGCCACAAGGGGACUGAGAUACGGCCCUUACUCCUACGGGAGGCAGCAGUGGGGAAUAUUGGACAAUGGGGGCAACCCUGAUCCAGCAAUUCUGUGUGCACGAUGAAGGUUUUCGGAUUGUAAAGUGCUUUCAGCAGGGAAGAAAAAAAUGACGGUACCUGCAGAAGAAGCGACGGCUAAAUACGUG
rnacentral:rRNA from 1 species